AGGAGGUAUCUGGGUCCUCUGCUUGGCUGGACAUCCAUGAAGUCUAUCUCAAGGUCUUCAAAGGGGGCAACUCCUGUUCUUUGGACACCACGUGGGAGUCGUGGCACAGAUCAAGCAUUAUUUCUGGCACAAGUUACACACUGUCCACUCACUGCUUGGUACAGCGCUGGCAACUGGCUGAUGCAGUAUUGCUUUUUGAGGAGGGCCUCCAGUGCAAUUUUUCCUAGGUGGGUGAGCUGGUGGUAUUUGCUGACUAGCUGCCUCCCAGUUGCAGUUGGGACAAAGAUAUGUCUGUCUGGCAACAUCCACCAUCCGUUUUCAGUUAAAGUGGCUCCUUCAGUUAUGGCCCACUCUUUCUCCUUUUCAGUGUACCUGGGUGGAGGGGCCUCUACCGGGGAUGUUAGGGCCACAGUGAGGGAAGGAGCUCUCCCUGCCUCCUUACUGGCUGCUGCUCUGGCAGCUUCAUCUGCCAUUCCCUGUGCUGUAGGGUUGUUUUCCUUUUGAUGUUCUUUGCAAUGCAGAAUUGCUACCUUUAUUAUGUAUGAAGAGAUUGAAGGGCUUUUUUAUAUCUGGCAGGCCUAGGGCUGGUGCCUGUUCUGAAGCAGUUUUUAUUUCCAGGAAGGGGGCUCUUGCCUUUUUUGUCCAGACAGUGGCUUUCAGUCUGAUCCCCCAGGAGGUUGCAGAAGGGCCUUGCCAUCGCUGAGAAUCCGGGAAUCCAGAUUUUUGCAGAACCCGGCGGCUCCUAAGAAUUCUCACAUGCCCCCCCUCGUCCUGGGCUGGGGCAAGGAGUGAACGACCUUUUUCUUCUCUGGCUUUAGUGCCCUUUCUCCCUGGGUGAGGAGGAAGCCUAAGUACUGGACUUGCUGUUGGCAGAUUUGUGCCUUUUUUCAUGAGGCUCGGUAUCCUGAGUCUGACAGGAGUUGCAGGAGGGCUUUUGUGCUUUUGCACAAUUUUCCUGGGUGUCACUGGCAAAGAGGAGGUCAUCUACGUACCACAGGAGGGCGCAGCAUGUGGCAUCUCUCAGAAAGCUGGCAAGGUCUGCGGCCUAUGCCUUUCUAAAGAGAGUGGGUCCCUGUUCAGGCGCCACUUGACGGUGCCUGCCGUCGAAGUCGAACAGUCUGAAGGGGAGGCGUGGAGCUGAAUAAAUGUACAACUCACUCUGAGAGGACACCCAGUCAAGCUGGAAAGUAAUGUGUCUUGGGUUGAAUGGGUUCCCCCCACCACCCACACCAGAAAACAAUAUCUACACCCAGAAUCUGUGAAAGGAACCUUCUUUGGAAAAUGGAUCUUUCAAAUACAACUAAGUUAAAGAUUUCAAGAUGAGAUCAUCCUGGAUUACGGUGGGCCCUGAAUCCCAUGACAAGUGUCCUUAGAAGAGAAGAGAUGGGAGGAAGACACACAGAAGAGUUGAUGUGAAGAUGGAGGCAGAAAUGGGAGUGCAGCCACCAGAUGGUGGGUGUGAGGCCUGGAGUGGAUCUUCUCCAGAAGCUCCAGAAGGAACCAGUCCUGCCACCACCUUGAUUUUGGACUUCUGCCCCCCAGAAUUGUGAAAAAAUAAAUUUCUUUUGUUUUUAGUCAAUGAGUUUGUGGCAAUUUGUUCCAGUAAUGCUAGGAAACUAAUGUACUAUGCCACAUUGUGUUUCAAAUAAUUUCAAGAUUGGGUUGCAGAGUGGACCAAAAAGUCCAGCAGUUCACAAAAGAGAAAAAAAAGUACGAAGAUCUGAAGUAAGCUCUGCUGGGUUCACUGGAACAAUAAGAAUCCUUAUGCAAUAGACCUCAUGGAGAGUAAAAUUGUGAUCUGGGAAUCUUAAAAGUUUCCCAUGCAGUCUAGGGUUACCUUGCUGACCCCAGUAUCUAAAACUCAUUCAUUAUUCACUGUUACGGCGAUUAAACUUUUAUCUCUCACUGUUUUGUAUGUAGUUCCUGCCACAAAUCUCAACCUCAGUUCUGUAAAUCAUUCCCUACCACCGGCUGCACAGAUUCUGCUAAAAAUCAUGUCUUCCAUUGCCUAAUGGCAUGUGAUUACUUCUUUUUCCCUGUAUGUCUUUCAGCUUUGGCACUGUUCUUGAUUAAUUAGAUUCCCAAAUUCAUAUUCUUUUUGAAAUUUUUAUUUAUUUUUAUUUUUUAUUUUGGUGUCAUUAAUCUACAAUUACACGAGGAACAUUAUGGUUACUAGACUCCCUCCAUCACCAAGUCCCCACCACAUACUUCAUUACAGUCACUGUCCAUCAGCAUAGUAAGAUGCUAUAGAAUCACUACUUGUCUUCUCUGUCUUGUACAGCCCUCCCCAGGCCCCUCCCCCUACAUUAUGUCUGCUAAUAGUAAUGCCUCCCCAUUUUUUACCCUUAUCCCUCCCUUCCCACCCAUCCUCUCCAGUCCCUUUCCCUUUGGUAACUGUUAGUCCAUUCUUGGGUUCUGUGAUUCUGCUGCUGUUUUGUUCCUUCAGUUUUUGAUUUGUUCUUAUACUUCACAGAGAGUGAAAUCAUUUGAUACUUGUCUUUUUCCACCUGGCUUAUUUCACUGAGCAUAAUACCCUCUAGCUCCAUCCAUGUUGUUGCAAAUGGUAGGAUUUGUUUUCUUCUUAUGGCUGAAUAAUAUUCCAUUGUGUAUAUGUAUCACGUCUUCUUUAUCCAUUAAUCUACUGAUGGACAUUUAGGUUGCUUCCAUUUCUUGGCUAUUGUAAAUAGUGCUGCAAUAAACAUAGGGGUGUAUAUGUCUUUUUCAAACUGGGCUGCUGCAUUCUUAGGGUAAAUUCCUAGAAGUGGAAUUCCUGGGUCAACUAGUAUGUCUAUUUUCAGCUUUUUGAGGAACCCCAUACUAUUUCCCACAAUGGUUGAGCUAGUUUACAUUCCCACCAGCAGUGUAGGAGGGUUCCCGUUUCUCCACAACCUCACCAACAUUUGUUGUUGUUUGUCUUUUGGAUGGUGGCAACCCUUCUGGUGUGAGGUGAUAUCUCAUUGUAGUUUUAAUUUGCAUUUCUCUGAUGACUAGCGAUGUGAAGCAUCUUUUCAUGUGUCUGUUGGCCAUCUGAAUUUCUUCUUUGGAGAAUUGUCUAUUCAGCUCCUGUGCCAAUUUUUCAAGUGGAUUAUUAGCUUUAUGUUUGUUGAGGUGCAUGAGCUCUAUAUAUUUUGGCUGUCAAGCCUUUAUUGGAUCUGUUAUUUAUGAAUAUAUUCUCCCAUACUGUAGGAUGCCUUUUUGUUCUAUUGGUGUUGUCCUUUGCUGUACAGAAGAUUUUCAGCUUGAUAUAGUUACACUUGUUCAUUUUUGGUUUUGUUUACCUUUCCCAGGGAGAUAUGUUCAUGAAGAAGUUGCUCAUGUUUAUGUCCAAGAGAUUUUUGCCUAUGUUUUUUUCUAAGAGUUUUAUGGUUUCAUGAGUCACAUUCAGGUCUUUGAUCCAUUUCAAAUUUACUUUUGUGUAUGGAGUUAUACAAUGAUCCAUUUUCAUUCUCUUACAUGUAGCUGCCCAGCUUUGCCAACACCAGCUGUUGAAGAGGCUGUCAUUUCCCCAUUGUAUAUCCAUGGCUCCUUUAUCAUAUAUUAAUUGACCAUAUAUGUUUGGGUUAAUAUCUG